rnacentral:rRNA from 1 species
CUACACACGUCAUACAAUGGCCGGUACAGAGGGUAGCCAACCCGCGAGGGGGAGCCAAUCCCACAAAGCCGGUCGUAGUCCGGAUCGCAGUCUGCAACUCGACUGCGUGAAGUCGGAAUCGCUAGUAAUCGCGGAUCAGCAUGUCGCGGUGAAUACGUUCCCGGGUCUU